rnacentral:rRNA from 1 species
UACGUAGGGUGCAAGCGUUAAUCGGAAUUACUGGGCGUAAAGCGUGCGCAGGCGGUUGUGUAAGACAGAUGUGAAAUCCCCGGGCUCAACCUGGGAACUGCAUUUGUGACUGCACGGCUCGAGUGCGGCAGAGGGGGAUGGAAUUCCGCGUGUAGCAGUGAAAUGCGUAGAUAUGCGGAGGAACACCGAUGGCGAAGGCAAUCCCCUGGGCUAACACUGACGCUCAGGCACGAAAGCGUGGGGAGCAAACAGG